AAAAAGAAACAUUAGAUUCCGAGUGUAGUGAGGGGGCUAUUGGCUUUACAAUGCUGUGUAUUUUUUUUUUCUUUGUUCUAGUCUGUAGACACGUUUUUUCUGAGUAAAAUUGCUUUAAUAUAUAAAUUUAGCACUUUUUUGAAAGCUCAAGUUGCCUAAAUUGUACUUCAAAAAGGUCAUUUUCUAAUUUUCGGCGCCAUUUUUUAAAUAAAAGCACUUGAGUGGGAAAAAACGUACAAUUUCAUGAUGUCAUUAUUUUCUAAAAAUACAGACGUCAUUUUCCACCAGAAAAAUGAUUUAAUCCAAAAAAACAUGACACCUUUUUUGUUGCCUUUUUGAUUUACUCAUGGAGUCAUCGUUAAAACUAGAGGAAUUUUAAUUUUUGGGAGUUUUUUGCUGUAAUUUGGUUAUUAUAAAUACACAUAGCGACUUAAAACUUGGUAAUAAUAAUUAUAUUAGACUUACCUAGACGUGGUAAAACUUUCAAAAUCAUUGGACAACUUUUUUUUUUUUAAUAAGUGUUGAAAUUAAAUUUAAACGAAAAUCGUAAAAAAAAAAUUUGAGACUAAAUUAUGUAUUACUGAACUGCACUUGGAAUUGUCUUUUGUCAAGCAAUGAUUUUGUUUACAGAUAUAAAUUAAAUAACCUUAUGUAUCCUUCUUCCCAGCUUUUCACCUACAACAUUUACCACUCCCAUCCUCAGUAUCUGUUAUUUUUUUGUUAAGUUACAAAUAUUAAAUUAAAUUCUGUACUUAUGUAACAAUAACAAUAAUUAAUUUUAGUUCAUACAUCAUAACUUACUAGCGCCUGGAAUUAUAUUAAUUUGCAU